UAAGGAAUUCUCUGGGGAUCUUGUUAAAAUGCAGGUUCUGACUCAGGAGGUCUGAGAUGGAGCCCGAGAACCUGCAUUUCUAACAAGCUCCCAGAUGCUGCUGAU
rnacentral:pre_miRNA from 1 species